GAGCAUGCUUCCUUUCCAGGAUAUCAAGGCUGACUUUGGAGCCACACGGCUGGAUUCAGAUCCUGAUCCUGCCUCUUUGUAGCUGUGAGGACCUGGCUAAGUCAGUGUGAGGAAACCGGAGCUCAGAGAGGAGAAAUGAAUUGCCCAAGCUCACCCUGCAAGAUACAGGAAGCCGCCGCAAGAAGCAGGAAGGACUCCCUGGCCCUCCCUCAGCCCAGGCAGGGGUUCCCUCAGCCCCGCCCCCAGCCCUGUCCAAGCUGCCCCACCCUGAAGUCUGAUAGGAGUCUUCUUCCUGGCGGGGCUGUAACUGGGAAAUCACUCUGGGCCCGGAGCCAGGCCCCAGGGCUGGGAAUCCCAGCCUCUUGUCUGGGUAGAGCGGCCUUCUGGACAGCAAGGGGCCCCCCAACUGAGGGCAGGCCUGCAGCCCCUUCCAGCCCACCCAGGCCAAUCCCCCCAUCAAACAGACCACCCUCAUCUUGCACAGAGUGCCCGCCAGUCUCAAGCUCAGUGAUGCUACCUUCAAGAGGGCCUGGAGCCAGGCUUGCUAAUGGACAGAUGGACCCAUGGACAGACAGAUUUGCCUGGAGCACACACAUGAGCUCCUGUUACAGCCUCGGUUCUGACCCUGACCCUCAGAAAACAGGACGCCCUGGAGAACAGUCUCAUUUGGGGAUGUUAUCAUAACCCCCGAAGAAACAAAAAGAAACAAAAGAAGUUCUAUUUCUUUCCCCAGAUUCCUUUUCUUGUGGAUAACUCUGCAGAGUAAGACAGGCAGCUGAUAGAGUCAACGUCCCUCCACCGGUUCUAAAAUGCAUCUUUGCAUUGAGGGCUGUGGUUUCCUACACUUGGCCCCAGCUUCAGCAUCCCCAGGGACAGAUAUCUUUGUUUGUUCUAGACAUCUUGGGGGGUGAGGGAAGGCUGGAAUGCUGCGGGCUUUUCUUUAUAGCAGCCCUGCUUGGAGAAUCAGCAUUUUACAGGUAAGGCCACGGAGGCUCUGGAAGUUGAGUGCCUGGCCCACCGUCACACAGCGACUAGCUCCCAUGUCUGCCGGUGGCCAGGAAGG